ensembl:rRNA 5S_rRNA 5S ribosomal RNA
UCAUCCAGCCAUAUCACCCUGCAGCCCAAGACCGGUUACUCCCUGAAGCUAAGCAGGACUGAGCCUGGUCAGUAUCUGGAUGGGAGACCACAUGGGAAAACUAGGUUGCUGUUGAA